GAAAAUAUCAAACUAGAGGAUAAACAUUUUCUGUAUUAGUGUCUUACAACUUAAAGGAGGGACCAAACUAUGCUUCAUGCUUUAACUUUAUCACAAGUAAUGAUUAUAAGAAAUUAUAUCUUACAAGCCUUUUAAGCACCAAGGAAAAAAAUAUCUUAGAGCAAUUUCAUUUGACUAGGUUAAAAAUGUUGCAUAAUCCUCGCAUUAUCAGAUAACCUUUUGCUCUGGUUUCGUGAAACAACCAUCAAUCAGUGGAUAGCCACAAUUUUCGAGAGCCAAAAGACUUGCUCCUCCAGCAUAUCUCCAUUGUGACUUUGGCAUUAAAGUUCAAGGGCAAUACCCCUUUGCAUAAUCAUUCAGUCCCUCUCAUCAGCGAAAUAUCUUUGGGUGUCAAAAGGCUGGUUCCGGAAAUUUGGAUUAGGUAACUCAGAAGGUAUUCCCCUAUUCAUUGGAGCAAAUGCUUUCUCUGCCAUUCUUUUCUCUCUAUCAUAUUCAAAUUUGUCCCGAAUUUGAUUGACCUUUUCCCAUGUAUCACCUUGCUUAUUUCUCCCAAAACCUUGAUCCUUCAUUUCCUCAAAUCGCUUGCUCCUGCAACACAAACAAAAUAUUGAAUGAUUAGGCAUCUCUAAUAAAAACAUGUGACCUUGUUAUAAACCACUAAAGUUUUAAUUAUACAUCACUCGUCAAGCACAUGUCCCAAUCCUCUUCUCCCACCCCCCAAAAUAAAACCAUAACAAUAAUAACAAUGAAUAUAUAAUAUGAUAUACUAUUAUAAAAAAUUUUUAACAGGUUGUUAUUGGAUCCCCCCUUCCCCUGCCCCAAAAGAAAAAGAGUAUCAGAUAAAAUUAAAAAUAACAUUUUUCUUGUUACAUAGUGGCUAUUUAACUUCCAUAUCAUUCUCACUUGGCUUCCUGUUAUAAAUGGUCAGAAAAAUGUUAUAAUUAAAUCUCUAACUGUUUAAAAGCCAAAACCAUGGUUUUUUGUGGCAGCAAGUAGUUUUUGACUUUUUUGUAUAUAAGGAGGUAUCUUUUUAUUUAUUUAUUUUAAGAAUUGACAAUAAGAUCUAGAAUAUACUGCACAAAUAAUCUUCUAGUUUACUCCACCCCCAAAUACAUUUAUAUAUAUGACACAUUAUCCGGAAAGCUAUUGAGGUAUUGUAAUAGCAAGAGGGUAGAAACUUGCUUCAACAAACCU
rnacentral:misc_RNA from 1 species